ACCCUACUAUGCCCAGCCAUAACACAACAAUUAAAUUACCCAUUGUUCGCCAAAUAACUACGAGUAAAAACUUAAAAUUUAAAAGACUUGACGGUACCUCAAAACAACCUAGAGGAGCCUGUCUAAUAACCGAUACUCCACGAUUAACCCUACCCGCCCUAGCCUAACAGUCUAUAUACCGCCGUCGCCAGCCUACCUUGUGAAAGAAACAAAGUAAGCCAAAUAGUCAUACACUAGUACGACAGGUCGAGGUGUAACUCAUGGGUGGGUCAAAGAUGGGCUACAUUUUCUAAGUACAGAAUAUACGGAUAAAUCUAUGAAACAGAAACUGAAGGCGGAUUUAGAAGUACAAUGGGAACAACAACCCCAAUAGAAAUUAACGCAAUGAGGUGCGUACACACCGCCCGUCAUCCCUGUUAACACAAACCAAAAACAUAUAUAAACAUAAAGAAUUACCAAAGCA
rnacentral:rRNA from 1 species